rnacentral:sRNA from 1 species
UCGUCACAUCACGAAAGUCGGUUGCACUAGAAGUCGGUGGGCUAACCCGCAAGGGAGGCAGCCGCCUAAAGUGUGAUCGGUAAUUGGGGUGAAGUCGCAACAAGGUAGCUGUAGGAGAACCUGCGGCUGGAUCACCUCCUUUCUAAGGAGCAUCUCCGUCCCGGAUCAAAACGGGAUUGCGAUUGAUGUCACCUAGGUCGAAAGGAAUCUGCUGUAAAGCAAGCGUUCGUCUAGACCGUCUUUCCUGUUCAGUAUUCAGGGCAUCGGCCCGUCGUUUCUUUGACAAUUGAAUACGGGUUGAUAGUUGUAAAUGAGAUGCACGCCAUACGUUUUUAACGUGUGGUAGCUGCAGAUCGCAUGAGAUCAAGGCACUUUAUGGUCAAGUUACUAAGGGUUGACGGUGGAUACCUAGGCACACAGAGA